CGCCCCAACCCCCCAUCGAUCCUUGCCGUUUUUCUCAAAAGUUCAAUGGUCCAAUACCCACUUUUCUUCUUUUAUUACGCUACCCCCAAACCUUAUCUUAUUUCUCCAAAUUUGUCGCCCUUGAGACCCCUUCCCUCCUUUCGUCUCUCGAACUUUCCCUCUAACCCCUGUCCUCUAUCGUUGAUAUCCCCAUUUACUUAUGGGGUUUUCUUUCAAUUUCAUGCCUUGUCCAGCCUCACAUCUCAACUAGUGAUACGAUUUCUACGCUGCUUGCUAUGAACCUCAAGAGAUUCGACCUAAUCUGGUUCGAAGUCUCUCAUUUCUCGAUUAUCCCGUGUAUGUUAGCGCAGAUACUUAUGAGUCAUGUUUGUAUAUUUGGGGUUUCAAAUCUCACGUUCAUAUCAGAUUUGAAUCGCUUCUGUAUAUCUUUAUGAACCUAGCUAUUUGCGAUUGGAUCUGUUUAAAUCUCUUUAGAUCUACAAUUAUUUUGGGUUUGUUUGGUACUUCUCCUUUACGAUUUUCUGUUAUUACUAUUGUUAUUUACUGAGUUUGUUUACACUACAAGCUAGGGUUUUGAUUUAUGAUGGAUUUCUGCAAAACAUUAUUUUAACGUUUAAAUGUUUUCAUCUAUGACUUUGUUAUUUACUUUUCAACUGAUUUUUGCUUGAAUCAAGCUCCAUGUAUAUCUCUUUGUAUUUCUAAGAGUGUUUAUUAUUUGACUGUUUAUCCUAUUGUCUUUUGCCCGUUUAAUAUUAAUUAUGUUAACUAAGUGUUUAUUGAUUUUAUUACCCAAAAUUAUAGUUUGAAUUUAGUACCUGCAUUUCUUUUUUUACCUGUUUUUACCAUAUUUAUGUGAUUAAUUAUCUAUGCUUCUGGCCUGAUUUUGUGUUCUUACUUUUUAUUGAACUAUGGACUUACUACUUACCUUAUGUAGACCUCAAUCACAAUUGUUGAUUUGUUGCAUGUUAAUUUAAGUGAUAUUUUUGUGAUUCUACCUAUUAAUUGAUUCCUGUUAAACCUACUUAACUGAUUAACUUAUCUCUUUACCUUAUUUGAGAAUCAUUGAUUCUCCUACCUUAUUUGGUUUUACUCUAAUAUAUGCUAUAAAACCUUUCAAUGUUUUUAUUUUCAAACACACUUAGACUUAGACACAAACAUAUUGAGACUCACAAGCUCACACCUACACUUACACACUUACACUCGUAGGACAUGAGUUCUUUCUAUCACUCUGAUCUACUGCAUUGUCUAGCCGGCUGAAAGAUAGGGCUAGACUCUUGGAUUCCACCUGCCUUUACCUUCCAAUUUGCUAUCUCCUUAAUUGGUAUGACUUAAUUUAUGUUAUCAUGUUCUAUUCUACAUGUUAUGUGGUCAGUUUAGUAUGGACAUCAACAUGCUUGUGUCUUAAUAUCUGUUUCUAAAUCAUCUCUUUCUCAACUACUAUAAUGUAAUUCUUAUUCCCUUUGACUUGUAUUACUAUCUUAUUUUGAACCUCGAUAUGUUUUGUUCACUAUCUGUUUCCAGUUUGCUAUCCACUACCAUGUUUUAGCCCUUCUUAUCCGUUGGUUCCAUAUGUAUGUGUGGUUAAGUGUUUUAAAUUCCAACAUGCUUCUCUUGGACCUAUAGUUCAUGUUCUAUUUAUGUUAUCUACUCUGUUCAUAUUAAUGUCAGCAUAUUUCUAUGCUUAAUAUAUGUCUAUUAGAUUCCACCUAGUAAUAAUUAGUAAUCUAUGUAAUCUUCAAUACUGUGAGACUUAGUUUGAUUCAGUUUGGGUACUAAAAAUAUGUGUAGGCAGUUCUGUUAAUAAUUCAAGUGUCUCUACGCUUGUUGUGAUUGCUUAAUUACAGGUAUAUCAUCUAUGCCUGAACUAAUACCUAUCUAUUAAGUAAGGACUCUAUUCUGUUUAUAGUUUGGCAAUUUGAACUUGUUUGUCCUAAAAAUCAAACUGUUAUUCUAAAAACUAUCCCCUGCCCCUUGGUACACAUGUUUCUAAAAAACGUCUGCUCUUAGUUAUCGAGGGUCCUACCACCCCCAUUGUGAGCAUUGUCUGGGAUCAUUGAGAUUCCUCUAAAUUCUGACAUAUUGGGGCUGGUCUUCCGAAAUGUUAUAAAGUUGUUUCCUUUGAAAGUUUUUGGUGUAAGCAUUGCCCGAGGAUCCUAAGUCCCUUAGGAACUUUGGCAUAUCAGAAGCCCAUUUGUGUAUUUUGGAUGGACUGCCUGUGUACAUCAGACUUGCUUGCUUGAAGGCAUGGUUUCCAGGUUGGUGUUGGGCCUGUAAAGGCUCCCUCUUAUAUAAUGAAUAGCAUUCAAUUCAUUAAUAUUGGUCAGUAAUAAUGUAAUAAUCCUUAUAAAACAAAUAUAGGGUUACUAGUAAAAUAUGGGGAUGUAUUAUAUAUCUCAUUAGUGUCACGACCCAAAACCCACAUAUGAUCGUGAUGGUGCCUCUCAUGAAGACAAGGCCAGCCAGAAAAAUGCAAACACCUUGAUUAACAUGUAGUUAAAAUUGAAGUAUUCUAAGAACGUGUAAAACAAUUAUAAAUGUGGAAAAAACGACAAUAGCAAAGGAUAGAAUCUCGACAAAGCCCAAAUCGGGGGUGUCACAAAUCAUGAGCUUUUAUAGAGAUUAUUGUAAGUCUACAGAAUAUAAUAUCCAAUUUAUAAGACUGAAGAAGACAUAAAUGAGGAAAGAUAAGGGAGACAAGGGGUUGCGGAUGACUACAGCUACCUCAUAAUGUGAGUACUCCGACCCAGUGAGUAAUAAUAAUAAAUAAUAAUUGAAGACAUGAAAACACAUAAAUUCAAAAGGCAGUUCUAUACCAGGCAGUAAAUCACUUAAAGAAGUAAAAACUUAAAGAAUGAAACAAAAUAUC
rnacentral:lncRNA from 1 species